CCUACGGGUGGCAGCAGUGAGGAAUAUUGGUCAAUGGAGGAAAGUCUGAUCCAGCCAUGCCGCGUGCAGGAAGACGUCUCUAUGAGUUUUAAACUGCUUUUGUACAAGGGUAAAUCUGAAUACGUGUAUUCAGCUGAAAGUACUGUACGAAUAAGGAUCGGCUAACUCCGUGCCAGCAGCCGCGGUAAUACGGAGGAUCUAAGCGUUAUCCGGAUUUAUUGGGUUUAAAGGGUGCGUAGGCGGAUUGAUAAGUUAGAGGUGAAAUGUCCGAGCUUAACUCGGGAACUGCCCUUAAUACGGUUCAUCUAGAGAGUAGAUGCGGUAGGCGGAAUGUAUGGUGUAGCGGUGAAAUGCUUAGAGAUCAUACAGAACACCGAUUGCGAAGGCAGCUUACCAAUCUAUAUCUGACGUUGAGGCACGAAAGCGUGGGGAGCAAACAGGAUUAGAUACCCGUGUAGUC
rnacentral:rRNA from 1 species